rnacentral:rRNA from 1 species
UACGUAGGGUGCGAGCGUUAAUCGGAAUUACUGGGCGUAAAGCGUGCGCAGGCGGUUGUGCAAGACAGAUGUGAAAUCCCCGGGCUCAACCUGGGAAUUGCAUUUGUGACUGCACGGCUAGAGUGUGUCAGAGGGGGGGUAGAAUUCCACGUGUAGCAGUGAAAUGCGUAGAGAUGUGGAGGAAUACCGAUGGCGAAGGCAGCCCCCUGGGUCAAUACUGACGCUCAUGCACGAAAGCGUGGGGAGCAAACAGG